AACGAACGCUGGCGGCAUGCCUAACACAUGCAAGUCGAACGAGACCUUCGGGUCUAGUGGCGCACGGGUGCGUAACGCGUGGGAACCUGCCCUUAGGUUCGGAAUAACUCCCCGAAAGGGGUGCUAAUACCGGAUAAUGUCUUCGGACCAAAGAUUUAUCGCCUUUGGAUGGGCCCGCGUUGGAUUAGCUAGUUGGUAGGGUAAAAGCCUACCAAGGCGACGAACCAUAGCUGGUCUGAGAGGAUGAUCAGCCACACUGGGACUGAGACACGGCCCAGACUCCUACGGGAAGCAGCAGUGGGGAAUAUUGGACAAUGGGUGAAAGCCUGAUCCAGCAAUGCCGCGUGAGUGAUGAAGGCCUUAGGGUUGUAAAGCUCUUUUACCCGGGAUGAUAAUGACAGUACCGGGAGAAUAAGCUCCGGCUAACUCCGUG
rnacentral:rRNA from 1 species